rnacentral:lncRNA from 1 species
UGAACUAUUAAAAUUACACUACAACAUUUUAACACAUGCAUGUCCUCUGCUCCUCCAAUUCCUCCGUGCUUCCUCAGGCUGGAGGGUGGAGCGUUGAGGGGAAGCGAAGUGUAAAGGCCUCCGCCUCCUUAAGCUCAUUGUGGACUCCACCCGUGAGAGGAGACGUCUCUCUGGAAGCCUCUAAAUCCAGCUACACCCUGCAGAUGGCCUCCGCCUACGGCAAGCACAAUAUCAGCCUCGCUGCUGCCCUGAACACUGUGGAGAAGGUGGGUGGCAAUACUGGGCUUCGUCCGUGGUGUGGAUGUGUUAAGUUAAAUGUUUUUAACACGUUUGAAUAAUCUCUGCUUCUUUAAGAAUCUGAAAAAGAGGCAAGCGAUGCUGAAGAUGAGCUUCUCAAAGCCGAAGAGCCCGUCCACAGAACUGGAGUUGGAGGGAGUCAUAGAGGAGCUGAGGAGGGACAAGAAGAUGUAUCAGAAAACAGCAAUGCUUCAGCUCAGACAGCCCUUACAGACCUUCCCUCAGACUCUUUUCCUGCGGGAGACCUUUACCGUCGACCUCCUCAAAGGCCUCUACAUCCUGGAGUCGAAGGCUGGUUUCCAAGGCAACAGAGAGGUCAUCCACACCCUCACCCUCGGCUACCAGCCGCCGAGCCCUUUUGUAAGUUAAGAGCGAGUCAGUCCAAACACAAAGUGAGUGAGUAUUUGAUUACUGUUUUCAGGGAUUUUUUUUUACUUUUUGUAACUCUUCCAAUAUUCAGGUUUGUUCUGCGCUGAUCCAUCCUUUCAGCUCCGACACAGUUCCGUCAGACUCAGAGAUCUGUGUGACUGUAACCAGCAACCAGGUAACCAACCAUAUGAUGCCCAUUUUCAAGCUCAUGCUUUCAUGUUAUGUGUCAACAAGAAAAUAUUUAUAUUCUUUGUUUGAAAAAAAUUAAAAAUAUUCUCACACCGUCCAUUGCUGCAUCAUUUCUAUUCACCAUCUUGAAUGCUCCGUUCUCAUGUCUCUUUAAGGCCCCCCUCCCCAAAAACGCCAGGCUGCUCUGAUUGGUCAACUCUCAAAGGCCUGAGCAGGCACUGCCUAUUGUGUGUUUCUGCAUCAACACUGCUACUUUUUUUUGCUCGGCGCGCUAUGAC